rnacentral:misc_RNA from 1 species
UGUCAGAAAUGCGAUUAUAAGCAUCGAAUAACAAUUACAAGGAAAUUAUGGAAUUGUAAAAAAUGUAAACUUAUUUUCGCAUUUUUUCUGUCUGCUUCUAUAUAUCUCUCUAUCAGUUGAUCUUCCUGUCUCUCCCUCUAUCACUCUCUAUCUUUAUUUCUCUAGACAGUUUUUUCCCUACGGCGAAUCAUAGAGAUAUUAAAGCUAUCACAACAGAUGGCGCCAAAAGAGACAUACCUUUUUUUCUCUAUUCAGCAAUACACGGUAUUGUCGUAUUGUAAAGUUGGUAUACCUCAAACUUUUCUAUCUACAAUUUUCGAUAUUAUUAUUUAUAUAUACAUAUAUAUAUAUAUAUAUAUACUGUAUAUAUACAGCAUAUAUAAAGCAUAAACAAGCUUGCUAUCUUAUUAAAGAAUACUUUACAAUCGUCUACAAAAUAAAUGGAUAACUCGAAAUUAAUUAAGGAAUUUAAGAAACGAAUUGAGGACGUUCUUACACCAGAGUUCAAUAAUGACGAGGCCUUAUUCAGAUGGAUUAAAGCAAGAAAUUAUAAUGUGAAAAAAGCCGAAGAAAUGUUUAGAAAGGUUAGAAUUUCAAGUAUUUUAAAUAUUUCUAAUAAUUAUUAAUAAUUCAAAAACGCUAUUGAUUUUAAAUAAAAGCCAUAGCAAAAUGUAUAUAUAUUUGCUUCUCAAUUAUUAUAAUAUUCGUUUUUGUUAUAUAAGAAUUGCAUGUAUUGUUGUACAAACUUGUAACAAACUGUGAUAAAUUUUGAUAUAGACAAAAGGCCUAUUGUUUACGUACACGUGUUUUCUGUUGAGGAAACUCCUAAUUGUUAAUAUUAAGCCUAUACUAUUUUCCUCUAUUUAUUCAAUAAUCUAUUUAAGAGAAAUUAUUUCAGUGUUAUUUGUCAAUGGUAUGAUGUACAAGAAAACUUUACUUAUUGCGUGUUUAUUUUUCUCUUGAAUCAUUUUUCUAUAGAGUAUGAUAUGGAGGAAUCAAGUAAAACCGAAAGAAAUUAAGGAUAAUUACUCUAUACCGCAGGUUCUGCAAAAGUAUAUACCUGCUGGAUUUGCUGGAGUAGACAAAGAAGGAUCACCAGUUUUUGUAGAACUUUACGGACAAUACGACUUAAGAGGUUUAAUAUAUUCGGCAAAGCGUAUAGAUUUUGAAAAAAGAUGGAUUGUAAAUAAUGAAGGGAUUAUGGAUAGAUUAGCCGAAUUAUCAGUAAAGUCGGAUAAACCGAUUGAUGGAAUAACGGUUAUUCUUGAUUGUUCUGGAAUAGGUUUAUCAUUUUUAUGGAUGCCCGGCAUUGAAUUAUUAUCGCAUUUGGGAAAACUUAGUCAAGAUAAUUAUCCAGAAAUCGUGAAAAAAACGUUUAUAAUAAAUGCUCCAACAUUCUUUACGGUUUUAUGGGGAAUAUUUAGAAAAUUUAUUACAGACGAAAUGGCUCAGAAAAUAUCAGUUUUAGGAAAAAACUAUAGAGAACAAUUAUUACAAUAUAUCGAUGUUAACGAAUUACCAAAAUUUCUUGGUGGUAAUUUAACAGACGAAAACGGCGAUCCAAGAUGUAAAUUAAUGAUUCCUCAAAAUGGUAAAGUUGAUGAAAAAUACUAUUUAAAAGAAAUGGAUAUAAGCCAUAUGCAAAAAGUUACUAUUUCUAACGGAGGAGAUUUCAAUGUUAAACUUGAUAUUAAAAAAAUUGGCACUAUUUUAAGAUGGGAAUUUAAAACCGAAGAUUACGAUAUUGCAUUUGGAAUAACACUUCAAGACAAUACAAAAAUUAAACACAUAUUACCUCUUAAGAGAGUAAAUUCUCAUUUCGUUCCUGAAGAUGGCGCUAUUACUUGUGAAAAAGUUGGAACAUACGUAAUAAAGUUCGAUAACUCUCACAGCUGGACAAGGAAUAAGAUAUUAUAUUAUAAUGUCGAUUAUAUCGAACCAGAAGAAGAAAAGAAGGAGAAUUUAAGUGAAGAUAUUGACGAUCUGAAUGAUAAUUUUAUAUGUGUAAAACUAUAGAUUUAUGCGCUCUUGUAUUUUUUCUUUUAAAGUACAAAAAACAAACCAAACUCUUAAGUGAUUGUAAAAAGAUACUUGAAGAAAAACAAGCUUUUUUUUGUUAUUUCAAUGACAAAGUCUUUUUUUUUUAAACAUAUAAAACAAAACAAAAGAUAGACUAAAAAUAUAAUUAAAACAUUAAAAAAAAAAAGACUGGGGCACAGAGAAGAGAAGUUUUAAUCUAAUUGAAAAUAUCUUUUACUAAUCCAAUUGUUGUUAAUCUUUUUCUCUUUUAAUGUCAUUUUUUAUAUAUAUAAUUUGUCUUUUUAAAAAAACAAAAUAUUAAAAUAUAUUCUCAUUAAUAUCUGCAUUUUCAACAGUUGAAAAUGUAUUUUAUAUAUGUCAUACACGUA